rnacentral:ncRNA from 2 species
UGUGGGAGGGGGCUUGCCCCCGAUAGCGGUGUAUCAGUCAGCUUAUCUGUAGCUGACCCACUGCCAUCGGGGGCAAGCCCCCUCCCACA